rfam:Schistosoma mattheei strain Denwood, Zambia genome assembly, scaffold: SMTD_scaffold0003090
AUCCAGCUGACGAGUCACAAAUAAGACGAAACGUGCGACCUGGAU